rnacentral:lncRNA from 1 species
AGAACCACCGCCAGGUACACAAGUCACUGGACAAGGUGGGAAGGCAUCUUACUCAAUCAAUGGACCUUAUUCUAAAGCGGGAAGGGCACUGAGAUACAGCGCCUACAACAAUGCAAAGGCUAGAAGGAAUGAAGGCAGGGACAUGGAAUGGAGAAUUUCCAUUUCACGGAUCCACAUAAACUGAAAAGGAACAAGAGUCGGUGAGACCAAAGAGCACUGAAGGCCAUGAACCACCACCAUUCUCAACCCCUGGGCCAGGCAAGAAAAGCCACGGUUCCUGGAAGGGAUGACGACAGGACCUAACAGACACAGUGACCAAAGCUACAGGGGCCUCCAGAGGAAACGGUGAGAACCACAGGAGAAAGGGGGUCUUUGCUGCUG